CGGCAACUAGAGAGUAUCAUGCUUUAAAGUGUAAUGAAUCGUAUCAGAUCGCUUGUUACUUCUUCAGAAAUAGAGCCUGUCAGGAUGCAUACUUGUUUAUGUCUCUAACAACAUGAGCAUGGCAAGGACAGCCAGAAAAUGCAAAAUAAAUCGCAGGGGAGAAGCUGAUGUUUUAUUACAAAAAGCAAUACCCUCCACCCAUACGGAAGCAACACAUAAACCUCUUAAAACUGCAUUUUGGGAUACUGCCUGCAAAGAAGAAAGUUAGCAUUCAGUCCUGAAAAUGGCACUUGAAUCUCCAGGCUCUGUCCUCCUUUUUUUCGUAUGGCAUUUUGAAAGGCAAUGACAGAUUGUAAAUUCAACCCAAGGUUGCUGAACCAUUCAGCAGAGUUAAGGGAGGCCUGAUGAAUUUCUUUUACAUGUCCUGCAUAAGCCUGUAUUAUGCAGUCAUUAACAACGUGAGCGAUAGUCUGAAGUUUGUUGCAAUUGCCAUAUGAUCAAUCAUUGUACCUCUGUUUAUAUGGAAAAUUUCUGCACCUCCUGUGAGUUGCUCAGAUGCUGUUGUGGGUAACCCAGUAUCCUUGAGGUAAGACACAUCCUGGCCCUAUGUUUGUGAUGCUGACAAUAAGCUUCAGCUUCAGCAAUUGUGUGUGAUUAUAGGUGUCCAGGUCUGUUUGAGAUGUUGAAGGUACUGUUAUGGAGUGACUGAUCUUUAUCAUCCAUGGUAG
rnacentral:lncRNA from 1 species